rnacentral:rRNA from 1 species
UACGUAGGGUGCAAGCGUUGUCCGGAAUUAUUGGGCGUAAAGAGCUCGUAGGCGGUUUGUCGCGUCUGCUGUGAAACUCGGGGCUUAACCCCGAGCCUGCAGGUGGAUACGGGCAGACUAGAGGUAGGUAGGGGGAGAAUGGAAUUCCCGGUGUAGCGGUGAAAUGCGCAGAUAUCGGGAGGAACACCGGUGGCGAAGGCGGUCUCUGGGGCCUUACCUGAC